CUUCGUCACAGGUGCGUCCUGGAUGUAUGGAGAUUCCAAAGUUUGUUUCUGUUCCUGGUGGAAAACGUUUGUAGUUGACAAACAGAUGUCAGCACAUCCUCACAGGGAGAACAUCGGACUCAGAUUCACACCUUGCAGUGCGAACACAAGAGCGGUACAGCUGAGGCUGCUGCCUCCCCGCUGCCCUCCCUCUCUCCCCCGGACACUCACGACUGACUCAACUCUGGCCAUCAACUGCUGACCGCUUUCCAAAAACUUGAUUUCACAAAUGGAGAAACAGCAUCUGCUUUCCUACAGCAUAACAUAUGGCGGAUAUAACUGCUCAUAAGAACCGAAGCAGGCUCAGACAAACAAAGCCAAGCAAGACACACGCCUGGUGUUCCUGCCUGUUUUUUGGGGACUGCCCAGGUCAGGGUGUGAAGAGUGACUCAGAAAAAGUGGAACUUUGAUGCCAAUAGAUCACUUUCUUCUGCCAGCGCCCAUCUCCAUCAUCGCCACAUCAGCUGCUCCCAAGGUUGUGAGGUCAUCGGAACAUCUGGCUCCUACACCAUGUUUUCAAAGGUCAGUGGGAAGCAUCUGUUUAUAGACCCUGCCACCUUCAGUGUCCCUGACAACACUGGGAAAGCAGAGCGGUUGUUUUGAGCAGACAUAAAUGUUGACAGGCCAUGAGUCUGAUGUAGUUGACCUGCUGUGUCUAAUGUCUAUGUAUAAUAAUGUUAAUAAUCUAUUGAUGGUCACUUGAGUUUUGAAUCGGUUCCAAAAGCACCGUGCUGCUGCCGUUAACACUUACCGGUCUGCCACAUGUUUAUUAAUGCCUACAUAAAAUUGUCAAGAAACCCGUUUGCUCAGCCAGUAGUUUACUUGUUCUUGCAUCAGUUUAAUGAAGAUGGUACCAGUAUGACAUUUAGAUAAAACUCCAAAUACGACGGUUUACAUUUAUUUAGCCUAUCAUUAGCUAGGUACCAGUUGUUUUAAUACCCACAUGUAUCCAUUUG